AUGAAUCGCUUCUCCCCCCAGGAUAUGGGUUUAUCAAGGAAUGUCGGCACAUGUUUUUCAACUUCAUCCUUUGGAAGAGCAUUUGGCUCCCCGCCUCUGAGCAACUGGCUUCCAUUCUCACAUCUCAACAGCAGCGCUGAGAGUGCCACCUGGGAACCCCUGAGCCACCGCUCUUUGGGGAAGCUGCCUUUCCUUCUGGUGUUCUCCAUUCUGUCGCGGCUUUGCCGGUUGCCUCUCUUUCUCCAGUCCUGGCUUGGUAGUGAGCCACCCUGA
rnacentral:lncRNA from 1 species